rnacentral:lncRNA from 10 species
CGCACCACAAGCAAGCAUUCUAUACACCCAGGUGGUGUGGAGGGAGCUUUAAAGAUGAGCUGAAAGAUUUACCGGGUCAUCUGAAGAAAACCAGCGUGGGAAUAUUCUGUUCUGCCAAUAUAUGGAAGUAGCAAGAAGAAACGACUGGCUAAUGGAUGUGCUGCAGUCUUCCCACAUGUAGAAACAAGCACAAGGGUGUCUGCUGGUCACACAUCUGUCACGAAUAUUGUGAAAUAAGGGAAGUUUGCAUUCUUGGAUUUAUUUCAUCCUCUUUGAAGGAAUUCAAAGAACUGAUUAUGAUUCAUAUGUACUAGUCAUGAAAAUAAAGCAGUAGUUCUUUGCAUUAUCCUACUGUGUACAGUGAAAUAAGUUCUCUUUGAAAAAUCACAUCCAUCUAUUUUUGUCCACAUUAUCAUUACUACAUGGGAGACUAAAACCAAAGACGUCAACUUCUGGCUCAAGGGGAUCUGUCAUUGCCUUUGAUUUCCUGUGAAAAUGGCUAUAAGUCAAGAAAGACGGAAUUUAGAGUUCAUGCUCAUCAAGAAGGUCUUUGCAAGAGCCCAACACCUCGAUAUUGGACUUCCCAGCCUCCAGAAUUAAUCCAAUAUCAUGUAGGCACAUGAGGAAGCCUACAUGGAAGACAAUUGAGACCUCAGCUAAAUUCCCAGUCAGUAACCAGCACCAACCUGCUAGCUGUGUGAGGGAACCAUCUUGGAAAUGGAUUCUCCAGCCCUCCUCAAGAGUCCUGGACCAUGAUUUCAUGAGACAAUCUCCACUGAGUGCUGGUUAGUUACAAAACCAUGUUCAAAUAAAUGAUGGGUCUCAUUUUAAAUCAUAAGUUAGUUUUGUUUUUAUGCAGUGAUGGAAAACUGAGAUGAACACUUAUUGAAUGUUCACUUUAUACACAUUCAGAAUAUAUUAUAAAACCGUGAUUGAAUUUAGCAGUCUAAAAAUCUAUUUUUUAAUUUGCCUAUGAUUCCUUCUUGUUUGUGCAUGCUAGAGAUCUCAAAAGACCAGGCUAUCUUAUUGGUUAGAAUAUAUAUGUCUUAAGCAAGAAAAAUAUCUACUAUUUGCCUAUGAAGCAAAAUUUUAUUUAGGAAUAUUUUUUAAACACUGAAAUUUUUUGUCUUGUGUUCUUACUCUGUACUUCUCUCAUAUUGAUUAGCUUUAAUUUUAGCCCAACUUAUAAUGAUUCUCAACCUGUAAUUUUUUACUUAGCCCUCCCUCUUGCUCCCUAAACUGUUACCUUCAAUUCACUGCAAGAGUAUGUCCAAUGUGUCAAAACUACAUUAAGCUUUUUAUUUUUAACUAAAACAAAGCAAAACAAAAAUUGUGUUUCCUCCUAUACUUCCUGUCAAAUAACAUAACAACUUGUCAUUGUGACAACUCCCUCUUUCUUAUACUUCUUCA